UUUUGUAGUCCUCUAAAUUUUCAUGUUUUGAUACAGAGAAGAUUAGCAUGGCCCUGCGCGAGGAUGACAUGUAAAUUCAUGAAGUGUUAGAUAUUUUU
rnacentral:snRNA from 1 species